CCUACGGGAGGCAGCAGUGGGGAAUAUUGCACAAUGGGGGAAACCCUGAUGCAGCAACGCCGCGUGAAGGAAGACGGUUUUCGGAUUGUAAACUUCUGUUCUUAGUGAAGAAUAAUGACGGUAGCUAAGGAGCAAGCCACGGCUAACUACGUGCCAGCAGCCGCGGUAAUACGUAGGUGGCAAGCGUUAUCCGGAUUUACUGGGUGUAAAGGGAGCGUAGGCGGUUUAGCAAGUCAGAAGUGAAAGCCCGGGGCUCAACUCCGGGACUGCUUUUGAAACUGUUGAACUAGAUUGCAGGAGAGGUAAGUGGAAUUCCUAGUGUAGCGGUGAAAUGCUUAGAUAUCACGAAGAACUCCGAUUGCGAAGGCAGCUCACUGGACUGCAACUGACACUGAGGCUCGAAAGUGUGGGUAUCAAACAGGAUUAGAUACCCCGGUAGUC
rnacentral:rRNA from 1 species